GAUGAACGCUGGCGGCGUGCUUAACACAUGCAAGUCGAACGGGAAACCUUUUAUUGAAGCUUCGGCAGAUUUCGCUGGUUUCUAGUGGCGGACGGGUGAGUAACGCGUGGGUAACCUGCCUUAUACAGGGGGAUAACAGUCAGAAAUGGCUGCUAAUACCGCAUAAGCGCACAGAGCUGCAUGGCUCAGUGUGAAAAACUCCGGUGGUAUAAGAUGGACCCGCGUUGGAUUAGCUGGUUGGUGGGGUAACGGCCCACCAAGGCGACGAUCCAUAGCCGGCCUGAGAGGGUGAACGGCCACAUUGGGACUGAGCCACGGCCCAGACUCCUACGGGAGGCAGCAGUGGGGAAUAUUGCACAAUGGGGGAAACGCUGAUGCAGCGACGCCGCGUGAAGGAAGAAGUAUCUCGGUAUGUAAACUUCUAUCAGCAGGGAAGAUAAUGACGGUACCUGACUAAGAAGCCCCGGCUAACUACGUG
rnacentral:rRNA from 1 species